GACGAACGCUGGCGGCGUGCUUAACACAUGCAAGUCGAACGGAAAGGCCCUGCUUGCAGGGUACUCGAGUGGCGAACGGGUGAGUAACACGUGGGUGAUCUGCCCUGCACUUCGGGAUAAGCCUGGGAAACUGGGUCUAAUACCGGAUAGGAGCCAUUUUUAGUGUGAUGGUUGGAAAGUUUUUUCGGUGUAGGAUGAGCUCGCGGCCUAUCAGCUUGUUGGUGGGGUAAUGGCCUACCAAGGCGGCGACGGGUAGCCGGCCUGAGAGGGUGGACGGCCACAUUGGGACUGAGAUACGGCCCAGACUCCUACGGGAGGCAGCAGUGGGGAAUAUUGCACAAUGAGCGCAAGCCUGAUGCAGCGACGCCGCGUGGGGGAUGACGGCCUUCGGGUUGUAAACUCCUUUCGCUAGGGACGAAGCUUUUGUGACGGUACCUAGAUAAGAAGCACCGGCUAACUACGUG
rnacentral:rRNA from 1 species